rnacentral:rRNA from 1 species
UGACGGUACCUGACUAAGAAGCUCCGGCUAAAUACGUGCCAGCAGCCGCGGUAAUACGUAUGGAGCAAGCGUUAUCCGGAUUUACUGGGUGUAAAGGGUGCGUAGGUGGCAGGGCAAGUCAGAUGUGAAAGACCGGGGCUCAACUCCGGGGCUGCAUUUGAAACUGUCUUGCUAGAGUGCAGGAGGGGCAAGCGGAAUUCCUAGUGUAGCGGUGAAAUGCGUAGAUAUUAGGAGGAACACCGGUGGCGAAGGCGGCUUGCUGGACUGAAACUGACACUGAGGCACGAAAGCGUGGGGAGCAAACAGGAUUAGAUACCCUG